rnacentral:rRNA from 1 species
AGAGAGAGACAUGCGCGCAUAUCAAUAAGCGGAGGAAAAGAAACUAACUAGGAUUCCCUCAGUAACGGCGAGUGAAGCGGGAAGAGCUCAAAUUUGAAGUCUUCAAGGUUCUACCUUGACGAAUUGUAGUUUAAAGAAGUGUUUUCUGUUGGAGUUUUGGUAAAAGUUCUUUGGAAUAGGGACAUCAUAGAGGGUGAGAAUCCCGUAUUUGACCAUUAUUUCCAGCUUUGUGAUACACUUUCAAAGAGUCGGAUUGUUUGGGAAUGCAGUCCAAAAUGGGUGGUAAAUUUCAUCUAAAGCUAAAUAUUGGCGAGAGACCGAUAGCGAACAAGUACCGUGAGGGAAGGAUGAAAAGAACUUUGAAAAGAGAGUUAAACAGUACGUGAAAUUGUCAAAAGGGAAGCGUUUGACACCAGUGUUGUUUUCUCGAAAAUCAAUUAAAAAGAGUUAGAUUUUGUUGUGUAUUGACCUUAACAGCUUGCAUUUCAAUUUUCUUGCUUUUUUUAAUGCACUUUUCGUUUAACAAGUCAACAUCAGUUUCUUUUGUUGUAAAAAGGUCAUUGGAAGGUGGCUUUCUUUUCGGAGAAAGUGUUUAUAGCCUUUGACUCCUGCAAUCGGAGAGACUGAGGUCUGCAGCGUAGAUCCUUCGGGGUUAGAUACAUUUGUGCUAAGUUAUAGCUUUUUAUAGACAACUUGUUGACUAUGAUUAGUCUUGUAGCUUACUCGCUUAUGCUAUUUUACCUACGCUUAGGAUGUUGAUGUGAUACUGCGAGCA